rnacentral:rRNA from 1 species
GGUGGGUGAUCUCGCCCUGCACUCGUGGGAAUAAGCCGUAGGGAAACUGGGUCUAAUACCGGAUAGGACCAUGCUUUAGUGUGUGUGGUGGAAAGUUUUUUCGGUGUAGGAUGAGCCCGCGGCCUAUCAGCUUGUUGGUGGGGUAAUGGCCUACCAAGGCGGCGACGGGUAGCCGGACUGAGAGGUUGGUCGGCCACAUUGGGACUGAGAUACGGCCCAG